CCUAUAAAGUGCCUCAAACGGG
rnacentral:siRNA from 1 species